rnacentral:rRNA from 1 species
GUACUAAUCCCCCCAGGGGAACCUGGCCCUUAAUUCGAUGAUCCACGAACCUCUUACCUUCCCUUGUGUUGUCUAGGCUCGUUUCAUUGGCAAACGAGCCUAAAUGGCGAGCAGCUUGCAUACCGCCGUUGUGCAGCUUAUAUCGUGAGAGUGAAGAAAUAGGCGACGCAGUAGGCUUGUUCUACUACUAAUUCAGGUAAACGUGCAGCCUAUGGGAAGGGGGGAGCUGGGUUACAAUUUUGGUUUUUAUUGGAGCUACUUGUUAAAGGAGACGCGAAAGAGGACUUGGAAGUAAUGGCUUUAGACAAAGAAGCCGUGAAUGGAGCUCUAGUGCGUGU